UACAGAGGUCUCAAGCGUUGUUCGGAUUCAUUGGGCGUAAAGGGUGCGUAGGCGGCGCGGUAAGUCGGGUGUGAAAUCUUGGAGCUUAACUCCGAAACUGCAUUCGAUACUGCCGUGCUUGAGGACUGGAGAGGAGACUGGAAUUUACGGUGUAGCGGUGAAAUGCGUAGAUAUCGUAAGGAAGACCAGUGGCGAAGGCGGGUCUCUGGACAGUAACUGACGCUGAGGAGCGAAAGCGUGGGGAGCGAACAGG
rnacentral:rRNA from 1 species